UACGAAGGGGGCUAGCGUUGCUCGGAAUCACUGGGCGUAAAGGGUGCGUAGGCGGGUCUUUAAGUCAGGGGUGAAAUCCUGGAGCUCAACUCCAGAACUGCCUUUGAUACUGAGGAUCUUGAGUUCGGGAGAGGUGAGUGGAACUGCGAGUGUAGAGGUGAAAUUCGUAGAUAUUGGGAAGAACACCGGUGGCGAAGGCGGGAUGCUGGGCCGACACUGACGCUGAGGCGCGAAAGCCAGGGGAGCGAACGGG
rnacentral:rRNA from 1 species